CCGACCUGAGAGGGUGAUCGGCCACACUGGAACUGAGACACGGUCCAGACUCCUACGGGAGGCAGCAGUAGGGAAUCUUCCGCAAUGGGCGAAAGCCUGACGGAGCAACGCCGCGUGAGUGAUGAAGGUCUUCGGAUCGUAAAGCUCUGUUGUUAGGGAAGAACAAAUGUGUAAGUAACUGUGCACAUCUUGACGGUACCUAACCAGAAAGCCACGGCUAACUACGUGCCAGCAGCCGCGGUAAUACGUAGGUGGCAAGCGUUAUCC
rnacentral:rRNA from 1 species